CCUGGCGGCGAGAGCGCGGUGGUCCCACCUGACCCCAUGCCGAACUCAGAAGUGAAACGCCGUAGCGCCGAUGGUAGUGUGGGGUCUCCCCAUGCGAGAGUAGGGAACUGCCAG
rnacentral:rRNA from 2 species